GGGUUGUAAACUUCUUUUAUAUGGGAAUAAAGUGCAGUAUGUAUACUGCUUUGCAUGUACCUUAUGAAUAAGGAUCGGCUAACUCCGUGCCAGCAGCCGCGGUAAUACGGAGGAUCCGAGCGUUAUCCGGAUUUAUUGGGUUUAAAGGGAGCGUAGGCGGGUUGUUAAGUCAGUUGUGAAAGUUUGCGGCUCAACCGUAAAAUUGCAGUUGAUACUGGCAUCCUUGAGUACAGUAGAGGUAGGCGGAAUUCGUGGUGUAGCGGUGAAAUGCUUAGAUAUCACGAAGAACUCCGAUUGCGAAGGCAGCCUGCUGGACUGUAACUGACGCUGAUGCUCGAAAGUGUGGGUAUCAAACAGGAUUAGAUACCCUGGUAGUCCACACAGUAAACGAUGAAUACUCGCUGUUUGCGAUAUACAGUAA
rnacentral:rRNA from 1 species